AGUGCUGGGCAGCAAUGAAAGUUACAUACCUAAGUACAAGCCUCUGGCAGGAGUCAACUCAGGCACCUGGUUAAGGAGAAAUAGUUCUUUUUGUAGGAACUACAUCACCCAACAUGGCACCAAGAGUCUGCGCACAGCACCAGAUGACAACAGAAAGCAAAGCAAAGCAAAUGGCUGUAUCCUUCAACACCAACUUCUUGUAGUUUUAUCAGACCCUUCCAUCUGAAAGAUUACAUCAUGUUAUUUUAUGUCUGGACAAGAACAAACUCUUCAUCUUUGCCUCCUGAUCUUCUUGGUUAAAA